rnacentral:rRNA from 1 species
CCUACGGGUGGCAGCAGUAGGGAAUUUUCGUCAAUGGGCGCAAGCCUGAACGAGCGAUGCCGCGUGAGUGAAGAAGGCCUUCGGGUCGUAAAGCUCUGUUGCGGGGGAAAAAAGGCAGCAUCAGGAAAUGGGUGCUGACUGAUGGUGCCCCGCCAGAAAGUCACGGCUAACUACGUGCCAGCAGCCGCGGUAAUACGUAGGUGGCGAGCGUUAUGCGGAUUUAUUGGGUUUAAAGGGGGCGCAGGCGGUCUGUUAAGUCAGCGGUCAAGGCCCGGGGCUCAACCCCGGACCGCCGUUGAAAAUGGCAGUCUCGAGUUGGAGAGAAGUAUGCGGAAUGCGCGGUGGAGCGGUGAAAUGCAUAGAUAUCGCGCAGAACUCCGAUUGCGAAGGCAGCAUGCCGGCUCCACACUGACGCUGAGGCACGAAAGCGUGGGUAUCGAACAGGAUUAGAUACCCGAGUAGUC